rnacentral:tRNA from 2 species
GCCCCUGUAGCUUAACGGAUAAAGCACAGGCCUCCGGAGCCUGUUAUGGCUGUUCAAUUCAGCCCAGGGGCA